rnacentral:lncRNA from 1 species
CCAGGUUCAGUAACAAGAAGUGAUGAAUACAGAGUGUGAGAGAUGGGAGCCUGCUGCCCUCCUUCAUUCACCUGUGUGCACAACAUUCUCUGUGUGGAUUCUGACUUUAGACAUGCCGAUCUCUAGAGGCAUGAAGUCUACUGCAAAUGGAGGUUUUGCUAAGUUGGAUAAUAGCACACAGUGUUGGCAUGAGUGUGGGAAACAAGUCCUAUCCUCUCCUGUGGAUGACAGUCACGAGCUUCCACCUCUGCACAUAGGCACAGAAACCGGGGCCCGUGCGUUGGGACCUGUGAGCCUCACACCUGCCUCUGAUGGCAUCAUUUGCUGCUCCAGGCUUCACUGCAAUCGACCCACUUGGAGAGUAGCUCAGGAGGCUCACCCUGCCCUGGCAAGCAAUAGUGAGGGAAGAGACUCCAGAAGAUGAAUUAGAAAGAGUUGGAAAAUCUUUGAGAAGCAAGACCCUAAGAAGGGAAGAAAAUAUAGAAUUCUGUUUCAACCAGAAUAAAAACAGAUCUUUGGCACAGGUCAAAGAUCCUCAUUGUGG